UGUUAAGGUUUGGUAAUGGAUUUCUGUUGCAUCAUUAUAUUAUCACUAAGGUAAUAAUAUAAUAUCAACAUCCUCCCUUAUUAUAUCUAACAUAGAGGGAAUUUUACUUUGAGAAAAUUAGAGUGCUUAAAGCAGGCAACUGCCUUGAAUACUCCAGCAUGGAAUAAUAAGCAAGGACUUUUGUCUUUCUUAUUGGUUCUAGGACAAAAGUAAUGGUUAAUAGGGACAGUUGGGGGCAUUCGUAUUUAACAGUUAGAGGUGAAAUUCUUAGAUUUGUUAAAGACGAACUACUGCGAAAGCAUUUGCCAAGGAUGUUUUCAUUAAUCAAGAACGAAAGUUAGGGGAUCGAAGACAGAUCAGAUACCGUCGUAGUCUUAACCAUAAACUAUGCCGACUGAGACGC
rnacentral:rRNA from 1 species